UAUUUCCUGCUUGUUUUAUCUUCUUUUUUUUUGUGGUUAAUUUUAUACAUUCCUUUCCUCCAACUUUAAAUCUAUACUAAUCUAUGAAUCCCCAAUAUCUUGCUGACAUGGCGUUACCUCCUUCUUUCAAAACUGCUCUCUUUCAUCUCCCAACCUCCAAAACCUCUCAUCUUCAAAACCGUUCCCUCAUUAUCUCCCAAUAAAACAACAAUUGAAUGCAUAUAAUUGCACCAAAACUAUUCCCUCUCAUCUCCCAACCUCCAAAACCCCUCAUCUUCCAAAACCGUUCCCUCCUCAUCUCCCAAUAAAACNUUUUAUGGAACAAUACUUCUAAAAAUAAAAAGGACAAACGAGUACUACAGAAAAUUAACUGAGAAUUAAAAUCUCUAUAUCCGAGUGAGGACACCUAUUGUAAAUCAACCACAUUAGCGAGUACACUAGAAUAGUAAAGUGUUCGAGCAUCAUAAGCAAUUAGUAUUGCUCUUUUUUAUCUUUAAGCCACUCUAAUUCAUUUUCUUUCACUUUUAUUUUAUUAUAAUAAAAUGUAGGAUAAAUUAUGGUAUGAUUUAUUUUAGAAUAAAAAAUAUAUAUAAAUUCAAAAUCAAGCAUGACCACUAACUUGAGGAUUAGUAGUCAAUU
rnacentral:lncRNA from 1 species